GGGCUAUUAGCUCAGAUGGUUAGAGCGCUGUCCUGAUAAGACAGAAGUCAUUGGUUCAAGUCCAAUAUAACCCACC
rnacentral:tRNA from 1 species